CGGCUGAACGCGGUACAGCAGCUUGGGGCAGGGGUACAGUGUUGGCAUGUGGGAGUGUAGGAGCAGUGGAGGCAGGGCCUGGCUGAACACAGAACAAGAAACACGGGGUACAGCAACUUGGGACAGAGCUACAAGGAGCUGUUCUGCAUCCGUGGAGUUGAAAGGGUUUAUGGCUCAUAAAAAGAACUGACAAGCUGUAUUUCAUGAGGAUUGAUAUUGAUGAUGGGGGUCUGGUUUCCCCACUUGUGGGACAGUUUGGAAUGUACCAGCCAUGGAGUCCACUCUCCCUGAUGGCCUCAGCAUCUUCAAGGGCUCAAAUCCAGAGGAACCUUCCUGUGAUACCUCUGGCACUGACACCAUCUCCCUGCUCAGGAGAUCUAGAGCUCCUCUUGGAAUGUAUUUUCUUCUUCAGAUGAGGUGUUCUGGCCCUGUUUGCAACUGCAGAAAACCAGAACCAAUCUCUUUUUGGUUGUGCUGAGCUCCCACCUCAGACUGGGCACCUUCCCUCUGUGAGGGUGUAAAAUGCCAGAAACAAAGCCCCCCUUCAGCUCCUGUGCCCCUGCUUGCCCCACAUGGAACUGUGCAGGAUGGAACCCACGCCUUCUCUCGGGUCCCUGAGCUCUCAAUGCCUCCCUGAAAAAUCAGCCCAGCAACCAGCAAGGACCACAGGAAGAAAACCAGCAUGACCAAGGAGUCAUCCAGUCCUAGGGCAGCGCAGGUUGAUGGAACUUGAGGGACAAUUCAAUCUCCAUUCUUUGGUUUGCUGCUCCCAGCUAGAGCAGGAGCCUGUCUGUGAGAGCUGCCUUCAGGGCCACCGCUCCUUUUAUCAGCUGGGCCACUGCACCCGAUGCCACCUGCUUGUGACAAACCUGACACGAGGAAGUUCUGCCCUGGGCCUUGCCUGGCACUGCUCUGCAGUGACCAGCAGUCCUGGUGCUGCAUAUCCAUGGAUAAGGACACCAAUGUGAAUGCAGAACGUGGACAAAGCCCACGGUAAUGACUCAGGGCCUGCUCCUCAGUAAGGACACAUUAGCUGUAGGAACCACUUUUGUUGUGAAAUUCCAUUAUUCCAUGAGAUUUCUUUUGCAGUAAGGUCCUGAUCCCAGCUUCUGCACAAAGUGGAAACAGAUGAAGCUGCAGGAUGGUCUGAUACACAUUUUGCCUGUUUAAUGAGCU